rnacentral:tRNA from 2 species
CGGGGUGUAGCACAGUUUGGUAGUGCGCUUGAAUGGGGUUCAAGAGGUCGCAAGUUCGAAUCUUGUCACUCCGA